AAGGAGGUGGCACAACCAAUAAGAACUGCUAACUCUUACAUCUGGGACUAAACCCCCAGCCUCCUUA
rnacentral:tRNA from 1 species